rnacentral:lncRNA from 1 species
UUUGCUUCUGAAACGAGGAGGUUUUCUUCUAGGCCAAAAUUUAAAUGAAAACGUAACAUCUUGCAAUGUUUUUCAGUGUCCUUUGACCACAUGCAGAAGGAAGAUUGCAAUAUUCCACCUGGUAAAUCAACACAAUUGUGGAUUUUGAUUCUUCCACUGAAUGGCAGUGAUAUCUCUCCGCAGUAAUAGUGCGAGCCAGAGCCAAGCCAGCGGGCAGCAGGCAGGCAUAGAUGAAAAAUGGAGAAGCUAAAAUGCAGAGGAUCAACAUUGUGACCCUUUAUCCAUCCAUCAAGCCAGUCUGCAGAGGCCAAAAUAUAACCAAAGUUUCCUGAAUCCCAGACCAGCACUCUGGGUAACUCUGAGCGGCCACCUAACUUUUGAAUGUGCUGGCAAACCGAUUUGUCAAACGUACGGAGAUCUCAGAAGUGUUUGAGUCCCAUGAGCUUAGUGAAGGUCAGCAGCUCAAUAGGAGGGAUCAUAAUCCAUGCUCCCAGGGAAGGAAAAGGCUGUGAGUUAUACAACUGUGCUAUUAGAUAUCAGGCAUGCAGGUUGGGGGGUUUUGACAGCUUGGAGGGAGCCACAUUGCCUAAAUCGCAGCUCCUGACAAGUGGAAGUGCCACAUUCAGCAACAACAAAACGACACAGGCCUUCAGAGAGAGGGACUUCAAGUGCUGUCGUUACCUGCUGCAGAGCAGGUUCCAGGUUCCUCUGGAAACACUGAGGACGUUUCUCACGGAGGUGGUGUGGCCUGCUUUGAUUUUUAUGCAGCACCAGCAAAAGGUUGGCUAUAAUCUGGCAGUGAAACAUUGCUCGGGGCUGCCACUCCAGCAAGGGAUGUGA